UACGAAGGGGGCUAGCGUUGCUCGGAAUUACUGGGCGUAAAGCGCACGUAGGCGGUCUUUUAAGUCGGGGGUGAAAUCCUGGAGCUCAACUCCAGAACUGCCUUCGAUACUGGAAGACUUGAGUCCGGGAGAGGUGAGUGGAAUUGCGAGUGUAGAGGUGAAAUUCGUAGAUAUUCGCAAGAACACCAGUGGCGAAGGCGGCUCACUGGCCCGGUACUGACGCUGAGGUGCGAAAGCGUGGGGAGCAAACAGG
rnacentral:rRNA from 1 species